rnacentral:rRNA from 1 species
AGAGUUUGAUCCUGGCUCAGGAUGAACGCUGGCGGUAUGCCUAACACAUGCAAGUCGUACGAGAGUUUUUAACUCUAGUGGCGGACGGGUGAGUAACACGUGAGAAUUUGCCUUUAGGAGGGGGAUAACAAUUGGAAACGAAUGCUAAUACCCCAUAUGCUUUCGAGUGAAAUGAAUUUUUUAUUUGCCUAAAGAGAAGCUCGCGGCUGAUUAGCUUGUUGGUAAGGUAAGAGCUUACCAAGGCGACGAUCAGUAUCUGGUUUGAGAGGACGAUCAGACACACUGGAACUGAGACACGGUCCAGACUCCUACGGGAGGCAGCAGUGGGGAAUUUUCCGCAAUGGGCGAAAGCCUGACGGAGCAAUACCGCGUGAGGGAAGAGUGCCUAUGGGUUGUAAACCUCUUUUUUCAGGGAGGAAUAAAUGACGUGUACCUGAAGAAUAAGCAUCGGCUAACUCCGUGCCAGCAGCCGCGGUAAGACGGAGGAUGCAAGUGUUAUCCGGAAUCACUGGGCGUAAAGCGUCUGUAGGUGGUUUAAUAAGUCAACUGUUAAAUCUUGAGGCUCAACUUCAAAAUCGCAGCUGAAACUAUUAGACUAGAGUAUAGUAGAGGUAAAGGGAAUUUCCAGUGUAGCGGUGAAAUGCGUAGA